rnacentral:lncRNA from 1 species
AAAAGGGAAUAAUGGAGACAGCACUCACAGAUAGGGAACCCACUUAAAUUGCACAGGCCUCACUAUUUCCAUUUGGGGUAUACAAUACACUACCCACAAUCCACACAUGGGAACAAAUUCAUACACAAUACACACAUACAAAACACGGGACUCAGGGAGCAAAAAAGCGGGUCUUCUUCUAUUUUUAUAUACUCAAUCACACACAAAAUCUCAAAAUUCACUCACAGUAACACACUCCGAUGAUACACAAACACACUUAUCUUCUCCACCAAAAAUGCAUACACACAUCACUACGCACAGAGAGAUGGUGAGAAGAGAGUGAGAGAUCGAGAGAGUGAGAGACCGAGAGAGAGAGACAAAAAUAGUGAGAAGAGGAGAGUUGAUCGGGGAAAGAGAGAAGUGAAUUGUAGAGAAGGAAAUUGAGGAAAAAAGGGGGAAAUCCACUGGAGAUUGACCGGAAAUCCACUGUCACCGUGAAUUCGGUUUGAAUUCUCCGACAUUUGGGACUGCCGAGCUCGCCGGAGCUCCGAAGAAACCAAAACCGUGAUUCCAGUUCAAAAACCGACCCCCCGUUCUAUUUCUUCGACAAGACCCGCCGGAAAACGAUGCGAAAAAUGGGUACGGGAUUUCCCCAUUUGUGAUUCUGGUACUGGUUUGGCAAAAAUAGUGAAAUACCGAGGCUGGUUUGAUUCGGAUUGAGGAUGGUCGAGGUUCAUGAGUUCCGAUCCAUCGCUAAUUGUUCAGAAUAAAUCAAUUAUCGAGAGGUCCAAGUCUAUCUUUUUUUUCUUUAAUUUUUACGUAGUCGUGAAUGAUUUGUGUGUUUGGUAUGUUUGAAUCUUGAUUGUGUAUUGGUUGAUGUUGGAUUUGAGUGUGGAAAGUUGAAUUGGUAGUCGAAGAAUUGAUUAAUUAUUUUGUGAAUGAAUGCGGGAAAGGAUUGAUCUCGAUAAAAGUAAAUUUGGAUAAAUUUUGAUUCAUUGAUGAUGUUGAACAUGAUAGAAUCAUUAUAGAUCGAGCUGGGUAGGCAAAUAGUAGGUUCAGGUAGGCAAAUUUAUAACUUGUGGAAUGUUGAAAAUGUUUGUUGAAUGGUUUUAUUUUAUAAAUUUGGAUCAAUUGUACUCAUUUGGUCGGAGAAUGUCCCGAAAGAAAUUGUAUUUAUUCAUUGGGGAAUGCCCGACGUAUUAUGUUGGCAAAAGAUGUUCGUGAUCGAGGCAUCGGGUAAAGGCAUUGGAGCGUAGUUUUAGGAUUAGCUUAGAAUAAGAUUUAUAUUUUUGCAUUUUUUUUAUUUUUGAACUAUAUAAUUGAACUGGACACUAUAUGUUGGAUUUGUUUUGUUUUGUUUUGUAUGUUUGAUGGAUUGUUUUAUGUGUUUUUGUGUGUUUUAUACAUUCAUGAUGUCAAAUUAAUUGAUACGCUCCACCAAGCGACCGUGGUCGAACCACGGGAUCGAGGGGUGUCUAACACCUUCCCCUCGGUCAAAAGAAUUUCUUAGCCGAAAUCUCUGUUUGCAAAUCAGUUUUAAAGAUUCAAAUUGUUCUGAAAAAAAUUAUUCAAAGGUCACUUGGCACACCGAAUUAUGCUAAAUGGCGACUCUGAGUUUUGAAAAAAGGGGUGUGACACCCUUGGGUCUUUAUUGAUAGCAUAUUGCCCUGAGCACGACUUGUCCAAGUCCAACGAAGAGGAAAUGCAAUUUGAAGUAAGGGGGAACUUAUCAGCUUUCACUGUUGACGGGCUUGACAAGCUAACGUAGCUUCCACUUUGGCUCCGACAUUUAUCAGCUACUUUGAAAUCAAUACACACUUAUAGAUGUCCUAACUUGGCAACAAUUCCAGAAUGGAUAGGCGACCUCAUUGCCCUUAAUUUGUUGGCGAUUCAUAAUUGCCCUAUGUUGACAUUCUUGCCAGAAGCCAUGAGAUCUCUCACAGCAUUGCAAACACUACAUAUUUUAUGGUGUUCAUCAAUUCUAUCGCAAAUAUGCGAGAAGGAAGUAGGAGAGGACUGCCUAAGAUUGCUCACAUCCCAUCUGUUGGCAUAGGAGGUAAUUACCCUUUUACAUUUUGUUGGGAUUCAUAGUUAGUAUGACAAAAAGUAAAUGGAGAGAGUAGUAAUUAGCAAUUGAAAAUUGGAAAUUAAUAAUUAGUAAUUAGUGACUCGUAAUUGAAAAUUAAUAAGCAAUUUAUUUUGUUGAAUGUUAUUAGCUUCAUAAUUUGUUUAUUAAUUGAUUUUACCUUUUUAUUAAAUGAACAUAAUAAUAGAAUUAGUGUUUAAAAUCCCGUUUGGAAUAGCUGUUACAAAACUGCUUCUUUGAGAAGCACUUUUAUUAAAUGUCUUUUCAAAAAAGUGCUUUUGUUUGAAAGCAAUUUGUGUUUGAUAAAUUAAUUUGAAAAGUGUCUUUGAUAAACAGAUUGCGUUUGAAUAAUUUUUUUCAAGAAGUGCAUUUUUGAGCCAAAUGAUCAAAAAUGACAUGUAUCAAUAGACUUUUAUUACUAAAAUCGAUUUAUAGAGAAAAUUUAUUUUAAAUAUUCAUUAUUAUAUUUUUAAUUAAAAUUUUAUUUUUGUUUAAUUAAAAGGUAUGUACUCUAAAAUUUUCAAUCAACAUUUAUAUACAUAAAUACGUUAAAAAUAUUAAAUAAUGAUAUAUUACUUAAAUAAUUUAAAUAUUUCUUAUAAACAUCUAACAAAAAUGAAUAUAAAAAUUAUUCCAUAAAUUAAAUCACUACGUAUAAAAAUAUCAACGAUAAAAAUAAUUAGUCAUUCCUACAUCACAAAAAUUCUCAUUUCUAAUUUUAUCACGCAAGAUUUGUCUUGUAUUUCUGAAGGUAUACUAGAAGGCUCAUCUCCUUCUUCGAUCUCUAUAAUGAUGUCUUCGUUAGCAUAAUAGUUAAAGUCUUUUUUAGUAGUAGAGCGUUGUCAUAUUACAUAUUCAAGAAAAAAAUUAGAAGUGUUGCCAAAAUACCAUUUAAUCUUGUAACGUGAUUCAUAUGUCAUUUGUUAUCAUUAAUAAUAAAAUAUAAAAAAUUAUAUAUAUUCUUCAGUCAUCAUCAUCAAUGAUAUUUAUAAAUUUAUUUAAAGAAAAUGAAUAAAAUUAAAAUAAUAAUAAUAUAUAAAUCAUAAAAUAAAAUAAAGAAUUAUGAUAUAUAUAUGAAGUAGAAAAUUUUAGAAUAAAAAAUUAAAGAAUUUUGUGCGCGCGCUCCUGUGAUAGGGAUAUAUUUUUGUCAUAAAAAAUAUUUUUUUAGUUGUAGUUUUUUUAAAAUGUAGAAAUUUUUUGCUUUUGCUUUUUCUUAAUAACAUUUUGACAAGUUUAUCAAAUAUUCUUCUUUUCAAAAUAAGUAUUUUUUGGAGGGAAAAUAAGCAAUUCCAAACAGACAGUCAGACACUAAGUCUUGAAUUACUAAGGUUAAACUACCAAACUACUCUUAGGACUAAGUCUAAACUAUCAAAUUAAAUCUUUGAAAAGAAAAAGAAACACCCCCUGUCAGGUAUAGCCAGGGCCAGCUUCAAGGCAAAGCCAUCGAAGCAAGCGCUUCAUUUUUUUUUAAAGUAUUAUAGGUUUGUAGGUUUUUUAGAUUUUUUUCUUUAGAAAAUAUCAAAUAUUUCUUAAUAUUUUCUUCACAAUAUUUUAAUUUCUCUUAAGCUCCAAUAGAAAUAUUACUUUAGAAAUUCAAGAUUAAAGUUGACAAUCAACAUUAAAAAAAAUUCUUCUAUUACUCUCAAAUCUAAAAAGAACAUCUAAUAAAUAGAAGUAACUCAAAAAACCAUACCUUCUAUUUAUUAUUUUGAUUAAUGGAGCGAACAGAAUUAAAGCAAUGAUUACUGUGGAAUCGAAUAAGUUGAAAGGUAAGAUGUAUUUCAAUCAGAUAAAAAGAUUUUAUUAUUUUACGAAUGCAUAUUUUUCUCGAUCCUAUAUAAUUGUCUUAGCUGAAAGAAAUUUUUUAAAAAUAAAAUUUCAAAAAUAUUACUUAAGCUUAAGAAAAUAUUUCAAGAGACAUCAAAUGAAUUAAGCAUAUUAUUAAUUGAAAAGGAAUUUUUUUGGAUAAAUCAAUUACAAAACAGUUUUAUUUAUAAUUUUACACCUCAAAAAGCUAUAAAUAUAGAUUUAUAAAAAAGAAAUUCAAAGGCUCAUUUUAAAAUUUCGCUUUAGGCCACCAAUUAUAUUGAGUCGUCCUGGGUAUAGCAAAUUAAUUCAGUGCACUAUAUGAGGCGUUACACGUCGUUAGCCGUUACAAUCAAGUCCGUGUAAAAGCCUCAUAUAGCUCACUAAGGUUGUAUCCAUUUUGGUUCAACUUUUAAAUUGUAUUCUAUUUCAGUUACUUUUAAAUUUUUGUUUGUUAGUUAGGUUCCAGACUCUGAUGGAUUUACAGGAGAGCUUAAAGAAAAACGUUGGUGUUUCAACUGUGUUUUUGGGAGUCAGUUAAAAAGUUGAUAAUUCAGCAGAACCCUUUUAGGCCUCCAUUUUCAUGAUUCAUUAUUGAAUGGUUUUAUUGGCCCUUGAAGUAAAGUGGAAACUGAUUUUGACAUUUUCUUCAUUUCUGUGUUUGCUAUUUAAUUUCAUGAUGAGUUUAUGUAGCUUUGCUGAUUCUUUAAUUCUCACCUUAAUGUUUGUUGAGGAAUAAUUUUCUUAAAUACAGUAUCUCAAAACGAAUUAUAUUUGCAACGAUUACUUAUUUUCUGUUUUCAACGCGUGAUCACUACACUAAGACCUGACCCCUUUAUUUCUUAAUCUUCUAGCGCUAUGAAUACGUUGGUAAGCGUCAGCAAGUAAAAUAUCAUGAUUUGUGGUUGAGCCUAGGUCUUUUGAGAUAAAUUCCUUAGAAUUACCAGUAGACUUUCAUAACUAUUAUGUGGUGCUUAAUUGGGAUAAAAGAAAACGUUCAUAAAAUUAAAAAUAAAAUCAAAUUAUCACCUUGAUGUUUAAUUUCAAGUAUAUACUAGUACUAUUAUUAUACACACCUAAUGUGAGUGGGAGAUACAUGAAGGAGUCAUAAACAAGAAAAGGAUAGCUCAAUUUUGUGGGAAAGAAGAUUCUUAUAUAUUGAAAAAAAAAAAAAAAAUGACAUCAAGACUUGAAGAUCAAUGCUGAAUAGUGUAGUGACUAUCAACUUUAAAAGUCUGACAAAAUUCCCUACUUUUUCAUGUGUAAUAUUGUGUGGAGCUCAAUAUAGAAGUAGUACACUAAAAUUUACUCGCAUUCGAAUUCGACUAAAUAAUAAUAUUGUUCGUGAAUAUUGACCCUACCACCCUAGAUACCGCUAUAAUAUAUAGAGCCCCCGAAUAUGUAUUUUCUCAAUUCUCAAUAAAAACUAUUUUGUCAUUGCUUUAGCGAGAAGAUUCUCUUAUUGGAAUCGUAUUUUUAUUUUUCUAAUUUACAUAUAUUAUACAUAUAAUUAUUUUAAUUUAUAUAUUAGACAAGUGGAAAUACAUACAGAGAGGGAUACAAAGAAAUUUCUCAAAAGUAUAUAAAACUUCAAGAAGAAAAAAAUUGUAGAAACCAUUAUUCUAUACAAAGAAAAGAGACAAGCAUGCACAUGGCAAUAGGAGAAAAAGUCCAAAGCCAUUAUAAUGCUCUUUCCAACCUUCUUCAUAGUUGACAAAAACAUGUAUUGUUACAUCAUUUCUCAAAAAUUUUAUGUCUCCAAAUUGUAUUUUUGUCCUCCUCAUUUUUUUACCUAAUAAUUCCAAGAAUUACAGCUCACAAACUCCCUCACCUUUUGAGGAAUUUCCAACAAAAGAAAAUUUCUUUUUCUUUUUUCCUUCUAGGUAGAAAAUCUAAACAAGGAAAGAAUCCACCUCACAAAAAGCAUUUGCCAGCCUUUAUAAUAAUACACAGCUGAGCCCUUCAAUAAUCUGCACCAGAUAUUUAAAUCAUCAUAUAAGCAAGUGGCAAUUUUUAAUCAAAGAAAAAAAGUUAGGUUUAAUAGCAUUUUUAGUCCCUCAAUUAUUAAUAAAUUCUAUUUUAGUCUCUGUAGUAUCUCAGUUACUUGAAAUGUAUCUUUUAAUUCCUUUACUUGUGAAUAUUUACAAAUUCCCAGAAUUAUUAAUCGUUUCACUAUUUAAUAACACAUAUUUAUAUUAAGCUUAAGGAGAGCCUUUGAGUAACUGGUAAAGUUACAAUCAUGUGACUGGAAAUUUACGGGUUCAAAUCUUGAAAAUAGCCUCUCACAGAAAUGUGAGGCAAGUCUAUGCACAAUAAACCUGACCUUUUUAUAGUUAUAUUAAAAUUGUAUUGUUACUCUAUAUUUGAGUAGUAGUCCUUUUUAUAGUUAUAUUAAGAUGACCUUUUUAUAGUUAUAUUAAGAUUGUAUUGUUACUCUAUAUUUGAGUAGUAGUCCUUUUUAUAGUUAUAUUAUGAUUGUAUUGUUACUCUAUAUUUGAGUAGUAAUAUGCUUCUAAAUUUAGUCCUGAGUGAAGAUAAGACAAGUUGAGUCAAAUAUAUUGCAAUGACAAAAACCAUAAUAAUUAAGAGACCAAAAAUGCAAUUAUUCCAAGAAUUUACUCAUAAUUACUCCUUUGAAAGUGUUUUUUUUUUGCUAGCUAAAAUUUUAUUUUAGUUAAACUCAAACAAACAAAUUGAAUCAGGAGGGAGUAUUAGUUUGCACUUACCAUCAUGUUUCUUCAUUUGGUUCCUUGCAAAGAGCAUACAAAUGACUAGAAAACCAACUCCUGCUGCUCCUCCUAGUAUUAUAGCUACUGUCUUUCCUGUGUUUUGACCUGUCCGUACACGUUCAUUAAACACCUCUCAUUACUAUGCACAAAAAGUAUUGAUACAAAAAAUCUGAAAUAUAGCACACAAAUCUAAGCUAGACAAACAUCUUGUUAAAGGGGACAUAUUCUAAAGAAAAAAAAUUCAAUUAUCAUGCUCCUAAUUUGUUUAUUCUUCCGUUUUUCUUUACUUGUCACAUUUUUAAGUUGUACACCUCUUGAAAAAAAAAGGUGAUUUGACUAAAUUUGUCCUUAUUUAUUACUCAUUUUUAUUUAAUGUUUUUCUUUUUUUCCACUGCCCCACUUUGUGGGAUACACCGAAUAUGUUUUGUUGCUUCUCUUUCUUUUUUUUUUCACUAUAUUAGCAUCUCUCCAUAUUUAUUACUAACGAUAAAAGUAGAAACAAACGAUUAAUUAUGCCUAAAUUUUGUGAAAUGACAAAUAUUAAGAAAAACCUAUAUUUAAUAAAGACGAUAAUUAAUUAGAAAUGAAAGAAAGUACAUCUAGUUAAUUGAGGUAAACAGCUCAAAAGUCCAAUGAAGACAAUCUUUAUUAGUGUGUUAAACACUUGGAAAACCAAAAACCAUUGUCACAAUCUAACAAUAGUUUCACAAAGUGAAGUCUUGACAGAGACUUACGCGGACCUUACCUCUACCUCAAAAGUAGAAAGGCAAAUUCAAGAAAUCAAUCAAUUCAAGAAAUGUACCUUCUGAAGGAGAUGGAGACCAAUAUGAAGAUGAUGAUGAUGGUCUUUUGGGAGCCCCAUUUGGAUAAUAAUUAAAACUAACAAAGCACUUAUGAAGAAAUAUUUGGCCAGAAAUUGAGCUACCACAUUCAACCUGAGCUUUUUGAACAGCACUUUUCACACACUCACCACAAUCACCAGAGCCCACAUCCCCUUCACACUGUCCCAAAACAAAAACAGACUCAUAAUUUGCUGUGUAAAAUCCAUUACUACCACUACUAACCAUCCCAUUUUCCAAUGAAGAAAAAGCAGUAUCCCUCUUUUCCUCAAAUCCACUCCCUGGUGCAUUUUUCCCACUACAAGUCUUGUACAACAUCUCCAUCCCUGAUAUUUGUGGGAAACCAGAAACCUCAUACAGCAUGUAACACCCUAAAAGCUGGAUUCUUGCAGCAACAGGAGUGCCACAAAGCUUGUCAAUAAGUAUUGGCAAACCAUUUACACAGUUGUAACAUUCAACAUUAGAAAGGUCACCUCUACACUGAAAAAGACCAGUUACAGUACUUUGUCCAGUACCAGUAGUAGUUUUGUAAAACUUGGACUUUGAAGACUGUGAAACUAGAGAGCCAAAAAGAGUUGAAAGUGCUUGUGAGUAAACACCAGAUGGAUCUGAUAAUGCCUGUUUUGCACAACCUUUGUACACCAAAUAAGUGUUUCCUGAUGCACAUUCAACUUGUGCUACAUUCCUGAAAAUUACAAUAACCACCAAGAAAACUGACAAAAUGCUACAUAAUGGUUUCUUGGACAACCCCAUUUUUUAGAGAUUCUUGAAAAUGGUAAGAAUGAUCAAGAAAAUAGAGAAAAUGCAACAAAAUAGUUUCUUGAGCUACCCCAUUUUAGGGAGAUUUUUGAAAGAUUAUACUAUCAUGUUUUUUUUUUUUGCUUAAGAAACCAGUAAGGGAUUUUGAAGGGUUGAGAUUCUAUUACUAGUACUAGUAGAAGUAGUGCUUAGUAAUAUUUCUUUCUUGAAAUUUGUUUCUGUUUUUUUUUUUCUGAAAAAAGGGGUAUUGGUUUUUGUAGUGGUGUUUGUUUGGGAUUCACUUUCUUUUUAGAUGUCCUACUAUUUGUCUAUCUUUGGAUGUGCAGAACUGAGAAAAUAGGGAUAUCUGUAUCUUUUAUCAGUACAGAUAUGGUAUACAAGGACAAUUUGAUACUGUAUUUUAACUUCUAACUCUAUUUUUAACUUACAAUAGCCUAGUUGAGCUUUGUCUUAGUACUUACUUUUUCAUAAUAUCAGUAGUCGUAUUUUUUUCUAUAGUUUCUUGUCUUUUGAUUUAUGUUGUAUUUAUUAUAUCCUGUACUUUGAUUAUUGCGUUUUUCGAAAACUUUGUUCUGCUUUCUAUAAUAAUUUAUGAUUCUACCUUUUAAUUUUAAACCCACCGAUGUGAGACUCUAACACUCCUCGCACGCUCAGGGCUGAACAUUUGGAGCGUGGAUAAACAUAAAGAAAUGGACCUUGGGCUAAGUCAACCUCAAAAACUAACUUAUGAGGGAAGGAUUGUCCAAGAUCAUAUAAGGACACCAAGGAUCCCUUAACCCACCGAUGUGGAAAGUUUCAACAGAUAUGUUUUUCUUGAGCUAAGAAUCUAUUGAAACAGUCUCUCUACUUUCAAAAGUAAAUAUAAAAUGUAUAUAUAUAUACUCCAUCACUCUCUUUGUUUUAAAUUAUAGAAUUACAC